AACGCACAUUGCGCUUCCUGGUAUUCCGGGGAGCAUGCCCGUUUCAGAAUCAUUAAAACUCUCAUCAAGCAAUUGAUGGAUGUUGGGUGUUUUCUACUGCAAAGUACAAUCACCUUAAAUUGAUUUUGUGUGCUCCAACGCCUUGUUGGUCGCUUAUUCAAAGUGCAACAGAUGCAAAUCUCUACACAUUGAAUGUGGCUAUCAAGUUUUGGUACAUGCAACCCAACUAUUAAACAAAGGGUGUCACAGCCUUUUGUCAACCUUGGUCUGAAAUCGGGCAAGAAAACCCGCUGAACUUAA
rnacentral:misc_RNA from 1 species